AUACGGAGGAUCCGAGCGUUAUCCGGAUUUAUUGGGUUUAAAGGGUGCGCAGGCGGCCAUUUAAGUCAGCGGUUAAAUCGUGGGGCUCAACCCCAUUCUGCCGUUGAUACUGGGUGGCUUGAUUGCGGUCGAGGUUGGCGGAAUUCGUUGUGUAGCGGUGAAAUGCAUAGAUAUGACGAAGAACACCGAUUGCGUAGGCAGCUGACCAGACCGCAAAUGACGCUCAUGCACGAAAGUGCGGGGAUCGAACAGGAUUAGAUACCCUGGUAGUCCGCACAGUAAACGAUGAAUACUUGUUUUCGGCGAUAUAAUGUCGGAGGCAAGGCGAAAGCGAUAAGUAUUCCACCUGGGGAGUACGCCGGCAACGGUGAAACUCAAAGGAAUUGACGGGG
rnacentral:rRNA from 1 species